UUCCCCAGUGUGGACGCGCGCAUGAGGCCCCAUCCAGUGUAGAGACGACCGUCGUGCUGGGCUGCUCCAGACCUUGUGCUCUUAUAUCGACCCCCACAACCACCAAAGUGUUUUCUGUGUGUGCCUCCUGCUCCCCCAAGGCCAUGCCUAAGAAGGGAAGCAACGGCCGACGUGCGGGUUCCCUGCUGGUGCCGCAUACUCUAGCAUCGGUCUCACCCAGAGGUCACAUGCCUGACAAGAAGCCGAGUCAAGACCGGAUGAAGUCACAGUCCAAAGAAAGGGAACACAAAGAUCAGAAGGAAGAUAAACCCAAGGAAAAGGAGAAAAAAUAGAGACGAGAGGAUACUAAAAGUAUUUCAGGGUACCAGCCAACUUCCUUCGUGUCUCCUAGCCUCCCAAAACUCCUAGCCGCCUCUCCAAAAGGACAAGUAACUCUCCUCGUCAACCAACAUUCCAAAAAAGGCCUCCACGACACCUAAAAACACAUUCAAUUUCUCAAAGUUAUCUAAUGUUACGAACGACUUUCUCCCUAACGUUUCUACCACUCACCAACGACCACUAACGUUCCAGAUAAUAACUGUCCAUGGCUUCUUAACGUCUAAUGACUCUCCUUCGAGGCGUCAUCUGUCCUUCAAACUCUCCUCUCCGCGCGAUGGUCUCCUUCGUUGGGCUUGGUUUCAGUCUCCAGGUGACGACAAACAACAUCAUCCUGCCAUCCAGCAACACCCACCAGGUCUCCGGGUGACAAACAUCAUCAUGGAACACCCACCAGGUCUCCGGGUGACAAACAUCAUCCUGCAACACCCACCAGGUCUCCAGGUGACAAACAACAUCAUCCUGCCAUCCAGCAACACCCACCAGGUCUCCAGGUGACAAACAACAUCCAGCAACACCCACCAGGUCUCCAGGUGACAAACAACAUCCUCCUGCCAUCCAGACGUCCCCCUCCAGGUCUCUCAAUCUCUCUCCAGUACCGAAGUGUUUAUCCAAACCUCAGUGUUGUCACUACCUUCAGUCAUCCCUACCAGUGAAGAGGUUUAGUCCCCACUUUUGAUAUAGUUUACCGUUUUGUUUAGAUUGUGAAAAUUAGUUUUUAAUUCUGUUAAGAUUAUUUUCAUCUAACAAGGCUUGCAUUAUUUUGUGAUUUUCAUUAUAAAUAACUUUUGGGAUAGUUUCUUUUCUUGUUUUUUUUAAACUAACUGUAUUUUUUAUGUUAGUGAUAGUUACUGUGUUUAUAUAUGAGUAAAUAUGUUACCGUCUGCAGAAGGUGCGAGCAAUUUAUGAAGUUAACGUAGUGACAGUAUUGUACUGACCACUAUCUCUUUAUCUUACUUACACUACCUCACACACUCAUUUAUAACCAACUCACGCACAUUCACAUCCCUUGCUUACAGCUACAAACCCCCCCUUGCUUACAGUCACACACCCUUCGCUAAGUCACACACCCCCUUGCUUACAGUCACACACCCUUCGCUAAGUCACACACCCUCUUGCUUACAGUCACACACCGCUUGCUUACAGUCACACACCCUCUUGCUUACAGUCACACACCGCUUGCUUACAGUCACACACCGCUUGCUUACAGUCACACACCCUCUUGCUUACAGUCACACACCGCUUGCUUACAGUCACACACCGCUUGCUUACAGCCACACACCGGUUGCUUACAGUCACACACCCUCUUGCUUACAGUCACACACCCUCUUGCUUACAGUCACACACCCCCCUUGCUUACAGUCACACACCCUUCGCUAAGUCACACACCCUCUUGCUUACAGUCACACACCGCUUGCUUACAGCCACACACCCUCUUGCUUACAGUCACACACCGCUUGCUUACAGCCACUCACCGGUUGCUUACAGUCACACACCCUCUUGCUUACAGUCACACACCCUCUUGCUUACAGUCACACAGCCAUCAGUUACCGCGAGCCUCGCCUCCUCCAGCCACCCCAACCUCCGGUUACUUACCAUACCAAUGCCAGCCGUACGCGGUAAAGUUGCCUGAGGUAGUGUUGCCUCUGGCAUAACCUUACGGCCGUAGCCUCGCUCCGCUGGGCGAUCGACCGGAACCAUUUUGUCCGGACCUGCCGUUCCUUUCUUACUAAACAGAACUGCUGUCGAAACUUCAAAUGUGUGCUUGGGUUCAAGUUCAAGUAUGUUCAUUGAGACAAGGAAAAAAUACAUCUCAAACGGAUAGAGUAGCUUAGGCUAUCGGGUUUUUAACCUGUCCUGUCGAAUAGUACUUCGCAUUUUGACGUAUAUGUCCCCUAAGGCCAACAACUCGUGUACAACAAAUUAUGGAGGCUCGUAAAUUUGACAUGAUAACCAGUUUUCUAUCCAUGGGUCCUCGGCUAGGUUAGGUUCGGACAAUUUAGUGCAUCAGUUUAAUGAUGUUGGGAACGCUGGAGAAGACGGGCUGAAUAUGUGGUCAGGUGUCACACACAGCCGGUCGGGUUCCCACAGUAGUAGCCUUGCUGUGUGGAGGUGUUAGUGUGGGAGUGGUAGUGUGGGAGUGGUAGUGUGGGAGUGUUAGCCAACCACACCACACAGCCACCACCAUACCCAGCCACACUACACAG